GAGCAGAGUAGAGGAGUACAGCUGGGGCGCGUGUUGGUUGGGUUCGGGGUUGGGGCGCGUGUGCGUUUCCCCGUUCGAGAAAAAGGGCAGAAUCCUAGUCGCCUGGCCUUGGCCUUUCCAACUCCAAGGGGGAUUGGUGCUGCGGCUGCGGGUACGGCGUACAGCUGCUGCUGCUGCCCGCUGCCAUUCCUGCGAAACCGUGGUGAGAGAAAGCGGAGGAGCCGCCUUCUCCUGCUGGGGUUCUUGAUUCUUUGCAAGAUUGGCCUCAAUCAUCGCCGCCAUCAUCACCAAGCGAGCGAGCCAUGGCAGCAUUCGCAGAUGGGGACCCGUCCUCUUCUUCGUCCUGCUCUUCGUGGGAUAGUGACGAUGAGUACCAGAAGUUCAUCCAAAAGAUGAACCCUCCUAGGGUCACGAUUGACAACGCUUCAUGUGCAAAUGCUACAAUCAUUCAUGUGGAUAGCGCCAACAAGUAUGGGAUACUGCUGGAGGUUGUGCAGGUCCUCACUGAUCUCAAGCUCAUUGUCAGGAAAGCAUACAUAUCCUCUGACGGGGGAUGGUUCAUGGAUGUGUUCAAUGUGACGAAUCAAAGUGGGCAGAAGAUAAUGGACGAAUCUGUGCUGGAAGGGAUAAAAGAUUACAUUUACAAGUCUAUCGCACCUGGUUCUUGUUUUCUUCCUUCACGGAGGAGGGCCAUUGGAGUCGAGCCUUCCUCUGACUACACCUUGAUAGAGCUAACUGGAACUGACAGACCCGGUCUUCUCUCUGAAGUGAGCGCUGUGCUCACAAAUCUGGACUGUAACGUGGUGAAUGCUGAGGUGUGGACACAUAACGAAAGAGCAGCAGCAGUCAUCCAGAUCACUGAUAGGAAGACUGGGUUGGCAAUUCCGGAUGCAGAAAGGCUUGGCAGAAUCAAGGAGCGGCUUCGUAAUGUGUUCAAGGGAAGGAGUAGAGAUGCCAAGACAACAGUAGCAAUGGGGAUAACCCACACAGAGCGGCGCCUGCACCAAAUGAUGCUUGAGGAUCGAGAUUAUGAAAGGUAUGAUAAGGAUAGGGCGAAUGCCAACCCCAUGCCCAUGGUCUCGGUUGUUAAUUGGCUUCAGAAAGAUUAUUCUGUGGUCACAAUGCGGUGCAAGGAUCGAUCAAAGCUUCUCUUCGACACAGUUUGCACUCUAACAGAUAUGCAAUAUGUGGUUUACCAUGGGAGUGUGGAUACUGAGGGCCCUCAAGCUUACCAGGAGUAUUAUAUUAGGCACAUUGAUGGAUCACCUGUCAAUUCAGAGGCUGAGAGAAAACGAAUCAUCCAAUGUCUUGAAGCAGCUAUAGAACGGAGAGUAUCCGAGGGACUGAAGUUAGAGUUGUCAACAGGCGACAGAGUGGGUCUGUUAUCAGAUGUAACACGCAUUUUCCGUGAGAACGGCUUGACAGUCACAAGGGCAGAAGUUUCAACUAGGGGUAACAAGGCUAUCAAUACUUUUUAUGUCCGUGACACAGCAGGGAGCUUGGUUGAGCUGAAGACGCUAGAAGCAAUAAGGCAGGAUAUAGGGCAGACCGUGCUUCAAGUAAAAGGGCACCCUGAUCACCUGAAAUCGACAGCACAAGAGUCGCUGACUAGGUUUCUCUUCAGCAGUCUCUUCAGACCAAGAUCACCAUGAAACCUUGGAUUGAAGCCUGAGCAGCCCCACAGUUGCUGUUGUUGAUCUUCAAGGUGUGUAUGCCAAUCUAUCAUUGUUGAAUGCUGAUUCAUAGGAGACGAAGCCGGGUUACCACGCUGCCAUCAGAAUGGACAGUGAAGGCAGAAUGGGCAUGAAGGGGAGAUGUGUGGUGGGUAUCAGUGGCAUUGCCCCUUGGCCCUUGGGGAUAUUCAGAGGGUGUGGUGAAGUGUGAUACGGCGGCGGCGGCGGCAUACUUGUCCAAGGAAUCGGGCCGACGGCGACCCGGAUUUCAUUUGUGCCGGGCGCACAUGUCAAAAUGGCCGCCAGCUCGGCAGGGGCCUACCACGGCUGCAACUUGGCGUUGGGGCUUGGCACUUCGCGGGGGGCGUCAGAGGCAGGCAGAGGCGUCUAGGUUUCCAAUAUUUGAUUUUUAAGACCUUGUGCCGUAGUACCACCAGAAUCUUUCAUAACACCUAGAGGCCCUACAGGCAGGGCCACAGUGCCCAGCUAAGUGCCUGCCUGCAGAUAUUUCUGGCGUCAGAGCUGCAGCAACUUCUCAGUGAGACCUUAUCUCUUGCUACUGCCAGGGGCACAGAGGACUGCCAAUCAUCGCUGUGCAGUGCCUGGGUAUGAGUUGGAACAGAUCUGGUCCUGCUACAUGCUGGAGCUGGAGGAGGAUCUCAACUGUUCAAGAUCUGUGUGCAUCAACAAUCAGUUAUCAGUUAGUUGAAACAUUUCAAUAAUCUUCCAUGCGCAUUUCAGUUAGUUUAAAGUUAAGCAAGCUUCACCAUGUGACAUUGUUUCUGUCAUGCAAGUGAAGAGCUGGUCUUUUCAUAUAGUGGGUGGCUGCAAAACUUAACCAGAAAGGGUUGGUGGGCAUACAUCCAUCUUUAGGGACUGCAGCAGCAGCUGCUGAAACCAAGUAGAUUCCAACAAACAAGUUGGAGCCUAUCAGGUUCGGAGGGGCAGCAAUGUGUUGUAUCCCACAACUCUUGUACUAUGUAGGGCAAUCACAGCUUCACAGUGCCCACCUAUGCAGUGCAGAAAGCCCUCUUCUGCCCCAAUGGUUGCUAGGACCACUUCUGUUAUGGGCACUACUAGGCACAUGUGGCAGAGUCUUAGAAUGUUUGU